GACGAACGCUGGCGGCGUGCUUAACACAUGCAAGUCGAACGGACAGGCCCUGCUUUUGUGGGGUGCUCGAGUGGCGAACGGGUGAGUAACACGUGAGUAACCUGCCCUUGACUUUGGGAUAACUUCAGGAAACUGGGGCUCAUACCGGAUAGGAGCUCCUGCUGCAUGGUGGGGGUUGGAAAGUUUCGGCGGUUGGGGAUGGACUCGCGGCUUAUCAGCUUGUUGGUGUGGUAGUGGCUUACCAAGGCUUUGACGGGUAGCCGGCCUGAGAGGGUGACCGGCGACAUUGGGACUGAGAUACGGCGCAGACUCCUACGGGAGGCAGCAGUGGGGAAUAUGGCACAAUGGGCGGAAGCCUGAUGCAGCAACGCCGCGUGCGGGAUGACGGCCUUCGGGUUGUAAACCGAUUUCGCCUGUGACGAAGCGUGAGUGACGGUAAUGGGUAAAGAAGCACCGGCUAACUACGUG
rnacentral:rRNA from 1 species